CCCGUCAUCAUUGUACCUCCCAAAAGCACCUCCAUUAAUGUAUCCCAGGAUGCACUUCUUCAAUGUCAGGCCCUGGCUGACCCCUCAAACAUGACGUACGUGUGGCUGAAAGGAGGAGAAAAUGUCUACCACCUACAAACAAAAUAAGACUCUUUGGGAAACGCGCCCAUGAAGGGCUUGUAAUCACCACCCACCAACCUGCCAAAUGUGGGAGAAUAUCAGCUGUGGUGGGUGACCCCGCCGCUCCCACGAGCCACUUUGAGGGUUCAACGGCUCAUCUUUAAUCUGUCAGCCAGAUGGAUUUCCUCUCCAUGUAUGAUUCGGCACACAUGUGCUUCGAGGAUUGGUUGGUGAAA